rnacentral:rRNA from 1 species
AUACGUAGGGGGCUAGCGUUAUCCGGAAUUACUGGGCGUAAAGGGUGCGUAGGUGGUUUCUUAAGUCAGAAGUGAAAGGCUACGGCUCAACCGUAGUAAGCUUUUGAAACUAAGAGACUUGAGUGCAGGAGAGGAGAGUAGAAUUCCUAGUGUUGCGGUGAAACGCGUAGAUAUUAGGAGGAAUACCAGUUGCGAAGGCGGCUCUCUGGACUGUAACUGACACUGAGGCACGAAAGCGUGGGGAGCAAACAGGAUUAGAUACCCUGGUAGUCCACGCCGUAAACGAUGAGUACUAGCUGUCGGGGGUUACCCCCCUCGGUGGCGCAGCUAACGCAUUAAGUACUCCGCCUGGGAAGUACGCUCGCAAGAGUGAAACUCAAAUGAAUUGACGGGG